CAUUACCUGCAUCCGAAAUUGUGAGAAAGGGGAUCUGAUAAAAUGAAUGAGAUGGAAUUUGUGUAGGAGUUGUCGAAAUCAGAUGAAAGAUUUGAUCUGCUGGUGAUUUCAGUGAAUACUGGUUGGAUUUAUACUCGAGAAGACUCACAGAUUGGUGAGAUAAUGAGUUGCUGCUGAUGCUAAUAGAAGAUAGAUUCGAUAAAGAAGAAUCGAGGGAAGAAUGGGUUUCUUUUGCUCUCAAGUUUGGUUGAAGAAUUAUAAGCUGAGAAAAUAGGAAAAGAAGCGGAUGCUGCAGAUCGAUUUUGAAUGGAUCUUAGUUUGGUGAAGCUAGGAGAUGAAUUGUAGUGUGUUACUGGUGAUGAACACUGGAAGUUCUGGUGGUAUUGGAGUGUCCAGUGUCUUAAGCUGGUCCUGCUAGUUGCCAAGGCUACAAGAAAGAACGUGAAGGAAUGGGAACUGCUAAUGCAGUUAGCUGGCUUGAUGCAGGAGGGGGUUUGUUGUUGUGUUUGAGGAGCUGGUGCAAUUUUUUAUGAAGCAACAGAAGUAUGAAGCUACAGAAGUGUUGAUGUUAUGGGUUACAGCUGAGCUAAGGUUAAGGGAAUAGCAUUGCAGGUGGUAUUUGGCAGAAGUGACGUCAGAGAAAGAGCGGAGUCAUGAGUUUCUGGUGCUGCUGUAUGCUAUUGCAAGUGGUGGUCAGAAUGGAGCUUAAGAAAUUGCAGCUGAGAAGAAAAUGGUGUUGUUAUGUUAUUGGUGGUUUGAGACAUGAAAAAGCUACAUAAGAAGAUGGGUUUGCUUUGGUUCGAGACUGAUGCAAUGGUUUGCUGGCUGGGUUACGCGGUGAGCUGAAAUGGGAAUGUUGUUGUUGCAGCGAAGAAUAGUGGAGAAUCGCAAGUGGAUAUGGAUCUGUGUCUAGUAAUGACUCUAUGAUGCACAAAGGUUGAUUGCAGGAAUGUAUGGCUUGAAAAAAUGAUCGCAGAUGGUAGUAGUGGGAGCUACAGGGUUUGUAGGCCACUGAGAUUUCUAGAAGUUGUGAGGAAAAGCAUCAGAAGACAAAGAUGGUGGUACAUGGCAAUGCUGUGAAGAGUGCAGAUGAAUGAAGCCAAGAAGAACUGACUUGUAGCUGUGAAAUAAUGAAGCUCAAACUGUGGUAUUGAAGUUGUAGUUGUUGUCAAGAACAAGGGACUGAAUGGGUAGUUCUGAGAUGGAAUUGAGUUGCAGAGGGUAAGGAAUGAACUGGAUGCUUUCAAUAGAUGAAUGUUAGGAUGUUUACAAGGAAGAAGGGUAUGAAAUAGCCUGAACUCGACCGGGGAAACAACUAGAAAGCAGAGGAAACUCUAACGGAAUUGGAGUACGGCGAGUUGACUCAACGAUCCAGGUACCUGACUCACCGAUCCAAUGAUCUACUCAGAUGGACUUGGGCUCUUACAUGUGGGCUUGAUUCUGAUGGUUAGCAUAUACUGUUGGAGAUGGCUGAGGUUUUAGAAAUCUGGAGAAGGCAGAAAAGGUUUUUAGUGAUUUUUUCUUGGACAAAAAAUAGAAAUAUACUGAAGAAGAAGCCUACAGUAAGUAAGCAAAUUACAGAAAGGAGUUAGCUACAGAACAUCCUCAAGAGUCAAGACCCAGAAAAACCAAAAACGUUUAUAAUUCAGAUGGAGUGAUAUGUAGGAACACUUGAUACCAAAGGAUCUCAGCCCCAAAUGUGUUUUUUUGGAGUGGUAUAUUUUUGAAAUUGUUUGAAAGUACAUUAUAAGAUAUUUUUCAAAAAUGAAAAUGGAAUACAACAAAGAUAUUUGUUUGUCGACGUGCAAUGCACGUGCA